rnacentral:rRNA from 1 species
AACGAACGCUGGCGGCAUGCUUAACACAUGCAAGUCGAGCGCCCCGCAAGGGGAGCGGCAGACGGGUGAGUAACGCGUGGGAACGUACCCUUUGCUACGGAAUAGCUCCGGGAAACUGGAAUUAAUACCGUAUGUGCCCUACGGGGGAAAGAUUUAUCGGCAAAGGAUCGGCCCGCGUUGGAUUAGCUAGUUGGUGGGGUAAUGGCCUACCAAGGCGACGAUCCAUAGCUGGUCUGAGAGGAUGAUCAGCCACAUUGGGACUGAGACACGGCCCAAACUCCUACGGGAGGCAGCAGUGGGGAAUAUUGGACAAUGGGCGCAAGCCUGAUCCAGCCAUGCCGCGUGAGUGAUGAAGGCCUUAGGGUUGUAAAGCUCUUUCACCGGAGAAGAUAAUGACGGUAUCCGGAGAAGAAGCCCCGGCUAACUUCGUGCCAGCCGCCGCCGUAA